rnacentral:rRNA from 1 species
GCCAAUGCAUGCUUUUACAGUAUGGAAAUUGGUGAUUUAUAAUAACUUGGCAAAUCGCAAAGUGAAAACAGGCGAUAAAUCAUUCAAGUUUCUGACCUAUCAGCUUUCGACGGUAUGGUAUUGGCUUACCGUGGCAGUGACGGUUAACGGGGGAUUAGGGUUCGAUUCCGGAGAGGGAGCCUGAGAAACGGCUACCACAUCUAAGGAAGGCAGCAGGCGCGCAAAUUACCCAAUUCUAACAGUUUGAGAGAGGUAGUAACAAGAAAUAACAAUACAAGGCAAUUAAAAUGCUUUGUAAUUGGAAUGAUAGAAAUUUAAACCCUUUUUAAAGUAUCAAUUGGAGGGCAAGUCUGGUGCCAGCAGCCGCGGUAAUUCCAGCUCCAAUAGCGUAUAUUAAAAUUGUUGCAGUUAAAAAGCUCGUAGUUGAAGUUCUGCUAAAAGUAACCGGUCUGCUUUUAAUAAAAGUGGUAUCUUGGUGUGUAUUUAGCAAUGAUGUCCUUUGAAGUGUUUUUUACUUUAUUGUAAUAAAGCAUAUUCAGGACUUUUACUUUGAGAAAAUUAGAGUGUUUCUAGCAGGCCGACGCUUUGAAUACUGCAGCAUG